rnacentral:rRNA from 1 species
UGCGUAGGUGGUUCGUUAAGUCCGUUGUGAAAGCCCCGAGCUCAACUUGGGAAUUGCAGUGGAUACUGGCGAGCUGGAGUGCGGUAGAGGAAGGUGGAAUUCCCGGUGUAGCGGUGAAAUGCGUAGAGAUCGGGAGGAACACCAGUGGCGAAGGCGGCCUUCUGGACCAGCACUGACACUCAAGCACGAAAGCGUGGGGAGCAAACAGGAUUAGAUACCCUGGUAGUCCACGCCCUAAACGAUGCGAACUGGAUGUUGGGCACACUACGGUGCUCAGUGUCGAAGCUAACGCGUUAAGUUCGCCGCCUGGGGAGUACGGUCGCAAGACUGAA